AGCAGCCGCGGUAAUUCCAGCUCCAAUAGCGUAUAUUAAAGUUGUUGCAGUUAAAAAGCUCGUAGUUGAAUUUCGAGACCGGUUUAUUGGUCGUGCUUUUGUACGUACUGGUAUUAUUGGUUUCUCCUUUCUGACGAAUCUUAAUGCCAUUAAUUUGGUGUUUUGGGGAAUCAGGACUGUUACUUUGAAAAAUUAGAGUGUUUAAAGCAGGCUCACGCUUGAAUACAUUAGCAUGGAAUAACGGAAUAGGACGUUUGAUUCUAUUUUGUUGGUUUCUAGGAUCGACGUAAUGAUUAAUAGGGAUAGUUGGGGGCAUUAGUAUUCAAUUGUCAGAGGUGAAAUUCUUGGAUUUAUUGAAGACUAACUACUGCGAAAGCAUUUGCCAAGGAUGUUUUCAUUAAUCAAGAACGAAAGUUAGGGGAUCGAAGACGAUCAGAUACCGUCGUAGUCUUAACCAUAAACUAUGCCGACUAGGGAUCGGAUGAUGUUAAUUUUUAAUGACUCAUUCGGCGCCUUACGG
rnacentral:rRNA from 1 species